AAGACGAGAGCGAGCGGAGUCUCUGAGAUUUCUGAUGGAGGAUGAAUUUGUCCGAAAAGAUCUGAAACAGCUGCGUAGUCUCUCAUAGAGUAUGGUUCCUCUCAUGGUCUCUCAGGCUCCUUCUCAUCCAGGACAAACACAGGAACACAAACACCUCCUCCUCCCCUCUCCUCCUGUAAUGACGGCUCUGCAAUGCUUCGCCACUUGUCUCCUCACUCCUUCCCAUCCUUGUUAGCGGUGCUAGCCUUGACCUUGACAACCAAGCAGGCUGCCAUCACAGCUCAUUAACAUUAACAACAGUCUGCCUGGUGUGAACUGCCGGCUAUGGGAACCUUCUGGACUUUUAUGGCUCCAAUUGGCUGUCAGGUCCUAACAUGUGGAAAGAGGAAGUUGUAUUAUCUUCACUGCUCAGCUAAUGGUAGGCUGCAUUCAUGUUAGAAAUGCCUCACGGUGUGCAGCGGUUAACACCCACAUGUGGAACAGCGCGGCAACAAAUUGUGCCUGAACGCUGAGAAAACUGGAGCCUACAUUUCCCCCCAAAACUCCCAGAAACUGAACCGAUUUUGAUCUGAACUGGGCUGAAAGUAAACCCACUUUACCUUCUUCUGUAUUAUCUUAAUGCAUGACGUCAAGAACAUGCUUAAAAGUGCAACAUAGACUGUUUUAACUGUGUUUAAGCUGCAAAAACUCAAAUGUUGGCAACAGAGUUUGUCUUAUUUUAGUGAAAAUAUUUAACAAGACUCAACAUAAAGUCCAGAUUUGUGGUUUGAUCUCAGGUCAAAAAAUAAGACCUGAAAUGCUUUUUAUAAGUAAAAAUAUCUGCCAGAGAAAAGUUGACUUAUUAUACGUCUUUUAAUCUGGAUAAUUUGUUGUUAAAAACAGGGAGAAGUCUGAGGUAGUUUAUUAGGUACUAUUUUCACUUUUGGGGGUCUAGAACAUUUCAAAAGGCAUGUCAACUCCUCUGAAUUAAAAUGAUAUCCCCAAACAUGCUUAACUUUAUCCAGAAAUCACUUUAAAACAAGGUUUAAUGAAGCACUUUCACAGACAUGCAAACAAAUCCAACAGCACAAAAGAUAAUCGCAAUCUAACUGAAAAAUCAAGAUCAUUACCAAACUUAUCUGAAUAAAAAGGAGAAAAAAAGUCAGAUAUGUACCUAAAAUAUAUUCCCUUAGUACUUUAAAUAUGUCUUUUUACUCUAAAACAUUUCUGUGAAAUAGAAAGAAAGACGAAUGAUAGAGUGAAUGUUGAUAUUUAAGUACCGGUUGUAAAUUCAGUGUUAUAGACCUUAAACUUCAUAGUCUUUUAUUGUCCGAAGAGUCUCAAACUACAGAAUAUUUUUAUAAAAGAUAAAAAAACAGAGUCUUGUAUUAAAGUGACAUUUGAACCCCCCCUCUCUGUAUCUUAUCUGCUUCCUUUCCCUUUUUUCGGAGGUCCUUCAGAUUUACAUUCCAGCCACCGUCAGACAUUCUGAAAUCUAUAAACACCGUCUUACAGGUGCACACUCUGUGACAGGAUGUUCAGAUAGUCCUCCAGCUCCUUUUGAACAAAUAGUUCAGAUAAGUAUGAAGCACAAGAAGCCACUCAAUGAACUAAAUCAGGAGUUGAACGUUGAUUAAAUGGAUUCAUUUGGGUCUGCGGGGCCAAACAAAAACAUCCAGAGUCAACAACCACGACAAAAAUCACACAAACAAACAGAGAGCUGGUUUUUAGCAGGUCGCUAAAGGUCGUUUCCCAGUGGAACGAUGACAUAAUACACCAAAACAGUCGACAAGAAAAAAAAAGACCCAAUUGCAGAAUAUAAGGUGAUUUAAUGAAAAAAUAACUAAAUAAAAAGCAACAAAAACCCUCUUAUAAUGUCCAACUCAAAAAUCCCAAGAAACACAGGAGGCAAAAUCUAAAUAAUUAAAAAAAUCUAAAAUCCAACAAAAGACAAAGACACUGAGGGAAAAAAAACACAUGGAGACAUUGACGUGCAGACUUACAACAUAAAUCCACAAAAUGAACCAAAGAAAGAAACAGGGGAAGAGAAGGACUUUAUAUACAAACACAGGGAAACGAGAAACGAGAGGCAGGUGAGGCACUGAGACACAGGUGAGGACGAUUACAGAGGAGGGAUAACUGAGGAAGUAAAACAAGGGAAUGAACUACUACAAAAUAAAACAGGAAACACUGAAAACUGAUAAUAGAGAAUAAACACUGAGAACAUGAGGGAACUGGGGUCACAAGACAAGACUACAGGGGAACAGAAACACAAGGGAAAAUUCACUCAAAUCACAGGGAAAAACUCAAUAAAGAGAACACAUAGUGACAGAUACAACUUUCACUCGGUCUGAUCUGGUUCACCUCCUUUAUGCCGGGAUUGGUGAGACCCUCCACUGUGACAUCAAAAACCUAAAAUCCCAAAAACCUAUGGAUCUAAAUUUAAGCUUCAAAACCCUUUGAGCUAGAGCUUCUGCUUUAUAUAGGAAAGAGUAUUAGGGUAGGACAUAGCACAUGAUUUUUUUUUUUUUAUCAUACUAUACUAUAAAAUUUACUUAAAAAAACUAUAAAACUAUACUUUGAAUUUUUUUUAUCAUACUAUACUGUGACAUUUUUAUCAUACUUUGACAAACUUUUAACAUACAAAACAAUGACAUUUUUUUUUAUCAUACUUUACUAUAAAUAAUAUUUUCAUACUAUACUAUGACAUUUUUCUAUCAUACCAGUCUAUGACAUCUUUUUAACAUACUUUACUGUGACAUUUUAGUCAUACAAUACCAUGAUUUUUUUUUAUCAUUCCAUACUAUGACAUUUUUUUUAUCAUACUAUACUUUUACAUUUUUAUCAUACUAUAUGAUGACAUAUUUAUCAUACUAAACUUUGACAUUUUUAUCAUACUAUACUAUAACAUUUUUUUUAUCAUACUUUACUUUGACAUACUGUUAACACACAAUACUAUGACAUUUUUUUUUUUAUCAUACUUUAAUUAUUUUUUCAUACCAUACUUGGACAUAUUUUUUCAUAUUUUACGAUGACAUUUUUAAUCAUACUACACUAUGACAUUUUUAUCAGCACAUGUACUUUUAAAGUCCAGAUUCAGUCUGAGUCUGGACGUAAACAGGCUUCUUUUUCUUCUUCUUGUUCUUGUUCUUCUUCUUGUUCUCCUUCUUCUUCUUCUUCUGAUUUAAGAAUGUGGCAACGCUGAACAACACCAGAACAACAAGAUGAAAACUCCACCUGAGACUCAGCAGAGCGCAGGGGAAUGCACGGUAGUCAGCCGGAUUUUAACUGCCUGCUGAGGAAAUGUAAAAGAUUUUAUUGGUGUUUAAAAGAAGAUGGGCUGAAUGAGAGCCCAUUGUGUGCAGGCCUGCAGAGGAGUGGGGGUGUUUUUUUUUUUUUUUUUGGAGUGGAGGAUUGUACAUGGUGCGAGGAGCUUUGAAACACAGGGGUUCAGGAUCAGUCUCUUCAGCUGUAAAAGAAACAUGAAGGCCAAAGCCGCCAUAAAAAGCGGCCUCCUGCCACACGGCGCUGUUUAUACUAACACCUUUUAUGUAAAGUCACCAAACAAUAAGCGAUGGUAUUUCGACUGUUCCAGAAGUUAUACUGUUCCCACUUCAAAGCAGGGGGAAAAUUUGUCCUGAGGAAAUUAAUCGCCUAGUCAUAAAUGUUCGGCAUUUAUGCUUCUCGGUUAUAAGCUGGCGGUGGUUUAUGAGUUUGCCUGUAAAAGCACAAAGAGGUUUCAGGUUGGCAAAGCAGAAAAAUGCCUUACUCAUUCAUCCUCUGGACCACUGCCUGUGCUGAAGGAUUUUCCACAGUGACGGCGUGCAGCGGCCUCCUGACCUCGCUCACUUACAACAGUACUGUAUGUUUUAAAGUGAAGAUAUUACGAUGGCUGCAGCUUUUUCACUCCGCCUGUGAUGGAUAACUGCGUAUAUUUUCAGCCCUUACUUUGGCGUCGUUCCUCAGGUGAAGGGUGUGUGAUAGAAACAUUACAUAAAGGAUCGGUUAUUGUUCUUACAGGAAAACCAUGAAACAUGUUUUAAAAUAGCCUGUAUGUGCUUUGACACGUCCCGGUGUGUACAGAAGAGUCAAUGACAUGUAUUUAGAGCUGACCUGAGGUUAUGAAUAUGUGCAAUGACAGGAAAUAACAAUCCAUGCCCUGCAGUCAUUACAGGUGUGUCAUUAUGGCGGUUUGAGGUCCGUAAGUGGAAUGAAACUUCAAACGAGGCCUCCAUGCUGUUCCACCUCCACCUGCUGUUGAAUUUGAACCCUGAUUGGCCUCGAUUUGGAUCAUCGGUUAAGCGACUUGUUGAGACACCUUCGGUGUUUACCCGUUGCACCACAUGUUUUUCACACCUGAUCUAUUUUGGUCUGUGAGUUUUGUAAUCCAGAGUGAAUGAAAAAAGACAAAGACACUUCUGAUUACGCCACCUCUCAUCUUACAAAUCCACUUUUCACCUUUUCAUUUGCCAGUCUGGGGGUAACCGUGCAAGAUUUUCUGCUAAAAAAACUCUUUAAACUUACUUUAUGAAAACCAUCAUUUCAGCCUCUGCCUGAGACACUUUGUUUGGAAAGUUCAACACAGCUUAAAGGGAUAUUCCGGGGUUAGAUUAAUUCAGGGUCAAACACACUAUAACACCGAGUUAGACCCCCCCUCAAGAGAUGAAUGUUGUCGACUGCUUGCUUCUCUAGUUAUACCAACUUUAGUAACGACCGCAGGAUAGCAAUACAGAGAGCCACGCGCUCAACCAAAACGCCACUCUAUAGCCACAAAUAAUGCUCAGAACAGCACCUAACUUCAUCAACAGGACAUAUAGGUCACAGACAUAGUACUAGCCCAGAGCUGGCCCAAGGCAUAAGCGAACUAAGCGCUUGCUUAGGGCCCCGCGGCCAGUAGGGGGCCCCCAAGAGCAAAAAAAAGAAAAAAAUGGAAACCUUUUUAUUUUUUGCAUGUAUGAGUGAUGCUUUCUGUCUGAUCAAAUAUAUAUUAUUGUAAAAAUAAAAUAAAGUAAAAACGUUUUAGUGCUUCUGAUGUAGUCCUACGAUUCUUACCGCCGAUAUGUCAAAGCUCUGCUUCCGUUAUGUUCCUCCUGCUGUGUGAUGUGCACUGAGCGUCCUGAAUGUGUUACAUUUUGAGAUUAAAAACCAUAAAUGGCCCCCUGAACAUCAUUCAUCAGUCAUUCAUUGGUAUUAUUUGCAUGGUUGCGUUGGUGUUAUUUAUGUUAUUACCUAGGCCACCCCCUUAGAUGUGUAAAGACAUGUCAGGUGCAUCAAAUUUAUACUGUAGUAGGUGUGUGAAUGAUCAACAAUCAAUAUUAUUGGCAGAAAUAGAGGGCCCCCAUUGACUUUGACUAAUUUCUUUAGUAAAGAGACUAAACACGACUCACCUACUCUCUUCCAGCAGACGUUUGUUUGUAGGGAAACCUCAGGCCAGUCCAUUACGGACUACAGCGGGGUGCCACAGCUCAAGGAAGAACAUUUAUGAUCGAGUGGCGUUUUAGAUGAGACCCUAAAUAAAUUUUACGCUGGAAUAUCCCUUUAAGGAUGUUACUUUUUUACACAGUUUUACAGUUUAAAAAUGACCCAAAAGUUAUAUUUAAGCACUUUGUUUACAUUAUAAAAGAGCAAAGAGAGACCAUUAGAUAGAUUAAAUUAGCAGAUCGAGCGACCUUAAGGCGCUUUAUUUCCAUUUUAACUCCUGUAAGAGCAUCUGGAGAGUCCUCUGUACACAGCUGCGGUGUUAGAGUUGGCAUCCUCCAGAGUUUGUUUUUCACUGAAAGAGCGUUUUGUUGUUUUAUCUGCCACACAGGGAUUCAAGAGGGCACUUAUGUGGUAUUUGGGCAUGACAUGAGGGUAUCAAGGAGGGGUGGAUCGCCCUCCACGCCUCCACUCUGAGUUCAUCCAUCUCUCCUGCAGGCUGAGUGGAUCUGCUUCACCAUAUAGAGACAUUAGGGACCCAAAAAUGUCAACAUACUCCAUGUUGACCUUCGGAGUCCAGCGGUAUGUACAUGCACGACAUACCUUGUGUGGAGCAGAGUGCUUAUCUCUCCGUGUUGCUGGGUGGAAACCCUCUUUAUUUGUCCGUGUGCUUGUCUGUAGUCAAGCAGCAGCGUUGACUGUUUAUGAAUAUUCUCCCGAUCAUAAUUUAUCAGUUUUCAGAUUCUCAUGUGACUUCAGAUGAGCUGGGUGUCCUUUCCCUUUCUGUACAUUUCUGUGUUUACUCUCAGAAA